UGUGUGUGUUUGUGCACUGCCAUCCCACUAUGCUGAAAGAAGACUGGGCCUUUGGUGUGGAUGGUUGUUUGCCCAUGUUUUUCGUUGUGGCAUGUGUGGAUGAUGACUGAUACCCAACAGGUAACGGAUGACAGACACAGGACUGACGUGAAGACCUGAGGAUAUGCGUGACGAGAUGGACCCGGCUGAGUCAAGCUGCACACACGGAUACAAUUGAUAAGCUCUUGAGGAAGGCCUGGAAUAACCUUGGAGGUGGCAGAGAUGACUGGAGAGCUCAGAGUGUCGGGUAAAACAAACAUCAUCUCCAGCCUCUAUGCAUCGAAAGAUAAGGGAGGAAAAGGCCAUCUUGCUCUCAGCUGUGGAAAAGUGUAACAACAAGAAGAAUGAUUGACAGCAUCCUGAAACAUGGGUGGUGUGCUACGUAUCCAUGUUUUCUGGAAACACUGUACAUGUGGUAGAAGAUGGCUGUCGUCGUGGGUGCUGAACAAAAAUAAAAUCCACUAUGCUUUGUUUUUAGUUUGCCGCUUCAUGGUUAACUUUUUUACUCUUUAAAAAAAUAAAGUAACACAGACACCCCA